AGAGUUUGAUUCUGGCUCAGGAUGAACGCUGGCGGCGUGCUUAACACAUGCAAGUCGAACGGAGCUUAAGAAGGAAGCUUGCUUUCAUUUUAAGCUUAGUGGCGGACGGGUGAGUAACGCGUGAGCAACCUGCCCUUCAGUGGGGAAUAACACCGAGAAAUCGGUGCUAAUACCGCAUAAUGUCGGAGGACCGCAUGAUCUUCCGACCAAAGGAUUUAUUCGCUGAAGGAUGGGCUCGCGUCCGAUUAGGCAGUUGGCGGGGUAACGGCCCACCAAACCGGCGAUCGGUAGCCGAACUGAGAGGUUGAUCGGCCACAUUGGGACUGAGACACGGCCCAGACUCCUACGGGAGGCAGCAGUGGGGAAUAUUGGGCAAUGGGCGAAAGCCCUGACCCAGCAACGCCGCGUGAAGGAUGAAGGUCUUCGGAUUGUAAACUUCUUUGAUUGGGGAAGAAUAAAUGACCUACCCAAAGAACAAGUCACGGCUAACUACGUGCCAGCCGCUGC
rnacentral:rRNA from 1 species